UACGUAGGGUGCGAGCGUUGUCCGGAAUUACUGGGCGUAAAGAGCUCGUAGGUGGUUUGUCGCGUUGUUCGUGAAAACCGGGGGCUUAACCCUCGGCGUGCGGGCGAUACGGGCAGACUGGAGUACUGCAGGGGAGACUGGAAUUCCUGGUGUAGCGGUGGAAUGCGCAGAUAUCAGGAGGAACACCGGUGGCGAAGGCGGGUCUCUGGGCAGUAACUGACGCUGAGGAGCGAAAGCGCGGGGAGCGAACGGG
rnacentral:rRNA from 1 species